rnacentral:piRNA from 1 species
CAACGUUGUAAUGCCGUCGG